UGGGGAAUAUUGCACAAUGGGCGAAAGCCUGAUGCAGCAAAGCCGCGUGCGUGAUGAAGGCCAUCGGGUUGUAAAGCUCUGUCUUCUGGGACGAUAAUGACGGUACCCGAGGAGGAAGCCACGGCUAACUACGUGCCAGCAGCCGCGGUAAUACGUAGGUGGCCAGCGUUGUCCGGAUUUACUGGGUGUCAAGGGUGCUCAGGCGGAUUUGUAAGUCAGAGGUGAAAUCUUACAGCGUAACUGUGAAACUGCCUUUGAUACUGCAAGCCUAGAGUAGGGAAGAGAGUGAUGGAAUAUCGGGUGUCUAAGUAAAAUGCGUAGAUAUCAGAUAGAACACCAAUGACGAAGGCAGUCACUUGGUCCAUUACUGACGCUAAAGCACGAAAGCGUGGGUAGCAAACA
rnacentral:rRNA from 1 species